GCCAGGCAUGAUGGCUCAUGCCUGUAAUCCCAGCACUUUGGGAGGCCGAGGCAGGUGGAUCACUUGAGGCCAGGAGAUCGAGACCAGCCUGGCCAACAUGGUGAAACCCUGUCUCUA
rnacentral:SRP_RNA from 2 species